rnacentral:ncRNA from 1 species
AUUAAAACAAAAGCGCCUGGACUGAAGUUUAAGAAAAAACUUCAGUUGACGAGGGACAGGGUUAAUCGAGAUAUCGGCGGGUGCCCUGCGGUGUAUUCACCAUCGAUAACGGAUCUACAAAAUUAUCAAGUGAUUGAUAACACAAAGAGAUCUAAGUGAAAAAG